GCUGGGUGUAGUGGCGCACACCUAUAACUCCAGCAGCUUCUUGGGAGCUGAGACAGGAGGAUCACAGGUUUAAAGCCAGCCUCAACAACUUAGUGAGGCUGUAAGCAACCUAGUGAGACCCUGUCUCCA
rnacentral:sRNA from 1 species